GACAGAGGGUGCGAACGUUGUUCGGAAUUACUGGGCGUAAAGCGCAUGUAGGCGGCAGCGCAAGUCGGAUGUGAAAGCCCCGGGCUCAACCCGGGAAGUGCACUCGAUACUGCCAAGCUAGAGUAUCGGAGAGGUUGGUGGAAUUCUCGGUGUAGAGGUGAAAUUCGUAGAUAUCGAGAGGAACACCGGUGGCGAAGGCGGCCAACUGGACGAAUACUGACGCUCAUGUGCGAAAGCGUGGGGAGCAAACAGG
rnacentral:rRNA from 1 species